GACAGAGGGGGCAAGCGUUGCUCGGAAUCACUGGGCGUAAAGGGCGCGUAGGCGGGCCGCCGCGUCCGGGGUGAAAUCCUCCCGCUCAACGGGAGAACGGCCUCGGAUACGGGCGGCCUGGAGGGGGGUAGGGGCGUGCGGAACUGUGGGUGGAGCGGUGAAAUGCGUUGAUAUCCACAGGAACUCCGGUGGCGAAGGCGGCACGCUGGACCCCACCUGACGCUGAGGCGCGAAAGCCAGGGGAGCGAACGGG
rnacentral:rRNA from 1 species